rnacentral:rRNA from 1 species
AUUGAACGCUGGCGGCAGGCUUAACACAUGCAAGUCGAGCGAGCGGCGGACGGGUGAGUAAUGUCUGGGAAACUGCCUGAUGGAGGGGGAUAACUACUGGAAACGGUAGCUAAUACCGCAUCCCAUCAGAUGUGCCCAGAUGGGAUUAGCUAGGUGGUGGGGUAACGGCUCACCUAGGCGACGAUCCCUAGCAGGUCUGAGAGGAUGACCAGCCGCAUUGGAACUGAGACACGGUCCAGACUCCUACGGGGGGCAGCCGUGGGGAAUAUUGCCCAAUGGGCGCAAGCCUGAUGCAGCCAUGCCGCGGGUGUGAACAAGGCCUACGGGUUGUAAAGCACGUUCAGCGCGGAGGCGUUACUCGCAGAAGAAGCACCGGCUAACUCCGUGCCAGCCGCCGCGGUAAUAC